CCUUGGGAAUACUUGAGUUUGGAGGUCUUCAAGCCUUUCUAUGGGAAAGGUUUCCAAUACGUAUUCUGCCGUUGUCGAGCUUAAAAGCGGAUGAUGAUCCCUAAUCAAGAGUUUGGUCCUAGCUUUUCGAUUUCAUUUUGAGUUCUGUCCUCGCAAAGAUAUGAAGGGCGCUUUUCCAGGACGGAUACGGAUACAGGUGACCCCUUUUUCCCCUUUGCUUUCUUUAUUACUUCUCGUACGUGCCCAGUCUCAACGUCACUUCCAAAACCGCCUUUCCCAGAUCUAUGAAAGGUGAAAGGUUGAAGGUCCACAAAAGGUAACAUAAAUGAACAAGUUUAUUUUGUAUUCGAGCUGCUGAGGGCCGGAGCUCGUAUGGAUACAUUACUUCAUUGUUCUAUGAGGCCUUGCACAAAGCCCAUACUCGGAUAAGGAUCGCGAAGUGCAAAGAUCCGGUCUUUGACAACCCAACCGUCGUAAGGACAA